AGCGAACGCUGGCGGCAGGCUUAACACAUGCGAGUCGAGCGGGGGGAGGUAGCUUGCUACCGGACCUAGCGGCGGACGGGUGAGUAAUGCUUAGGAAUCUGCCUAUUAGUGGGGGACAACAUCUCGAAAGGGAUGCUAAUACCGCAUACGUCCUACGGGAGAAAGCAGGGGAUCUUCGGACCUUGCGCUAAUAGAUGAGCCUAAGUCGGAUUAGCUAGUUGGUGGGGUAAAGGCCUACCAAGGCGACGAUCUGUAGCGGGUCUGAGAGGAUGAACCGCCACACUGGGACUGAGACACGGCCCAGACUCCUACGGGAGGCAGCAGUGGGGAAUAUUGGACAAUGGGGGGAACCCUGAUCCAGCCAUGCCGCGUGUGUGAAGAAGGCCUUAUGGUUGUAAAGCACUUUAAGCGGGGAGGAGGCUACUUUAGUUAAUACCUAGAGAUAGUGGACGUUACUCGCAGGAUAAGCACCGGCUAACUCUGUGCCAGCAGCCGCCGUAA
rnacentral:rRNA from 1 species